UGGAGGACUGAGAAGGUUGAACAGCUUGCUCAGUGCUGUUAUAACUGGUUAUAACCUCCGAGAGAAUAACCAACAAACGGCACAGUUUAGUCCCUGUGUCAGAAGGGACCAUGUGUGCUUUUGUGGAACAU
rnacentral:snoRNA from 1 species